rnacentral:rRNA from 1 species
AUUGAACGCUGGCGGCAGGCCUAACACAUGCAAGUCGAGCGGAGCGGCGGACGGGUGAGGAAUGCCUAGGAAUCGGACAGGUCGUGGUGGAUAACGUCAGGAAACGGACGCUAAUACCGCAUACUAUCGGAUGAGGCUAUGUCGGAUUAGCUUGUUGGUGGGGUAAAGGCUGAGCAAGGCGACGAGCCGUAACUGGUCUGGGAGGAUGAUCAGUCACACUGGAACUGAGACACGGUCCAGACUCCUACGGGAGGCAGCAGUGGGGAAGAUUGGACAAUGGGCGAAAGCCUGAUCCAGCCAUGCCGCGUGUGUGAAGAAGGUCUUCGGAUUGUAAAGUACUUUAAGUUGGGAGGCGUUACCAACAGAAUAAGCACCGGCUAACUUCGUGCCAGCAGCCGCGGUAAUAC